CUAAUACAAUAAACAUCAAAAUAAUCUGAAUUGGAGUAUACAAAAACUCUAUACACAAUAAUAAGCAGGGCUGCGUCACAUACAAAAGAGCGACUAAACAACCAAAUAAAAUAUAAACCAACAAGGGUAUGUGAGCGCUCCAAAUAAAAUAUGACCACUAGAAAAAUUACACUCCAAAGCAGCAGCUGUAGAAUAAGAUAAAAAUGUACAUAUACACAAAAUAUUUAUUCAUAUAAAAAUAAACAAAUCAUAAGAACCAUGAAAAAAUCCUUAUAAAUCUAAAUAUAAAAAAGUUCAUAAGGAUGUGUCCAAACCAAAGUUCAAAGAUACAUAGUGUGGGGCCCCCAACACUAAU